GUGGAGCAGAUAAGACGAAAAAUUUUCGCUUGCUACGAGCUCGCUUUUUUCUUGAGAAAACGCACAUUGACACACGUAGGUGUUGUGAGUAUAAUUUGCCUGGAAGGUGCACACCAAUCUUGAUUUUUCAGUGCUUUGUGCACUGCAACUUUGUUGGAAAA